UACAGAGGGGGCAAGCGUUAUUCGGAAUUACUGGGCGUAAAGGGCUGGUAGGCGGCCAACUAAGUCGGAUGUGAAAUCCCCAGGCUUAACCUGGGAACUGCAUCCGAUACUGGUCGGCUUGAAUCCGGGAGAGGGAUGUGGAAUUCCAGGUGUAGCGGUGAAAUGCGUAGAUAUCUGGAGGAACACCGGUGGCGAAGGCGGCAUCCUGGACCGGUAUUGACGCUGAGGCGCGAAAGCUAGGGGAGCAAACGGG
rnacentral:rRNA from 1 species